ensembl:antisense Gm45095 predicted gene 45095
GCUGCACGUCGCCGAGGGGCAGGUUCUGGAGGGACCACCUGGUACUCCAUCCCUUCCCCGACUGUGGUUGCAUCAGACGCCGCUCCGGGCCCCCGCCCGCGCCGCCAAGCCGCCAGGAGCCUUCCGGGCCAACCUGCCGAAUCGGGCAGGGCCGGGUCUCCUCCGGCCGGGUCGGCGCCUACGCGAGCGGCGGGCUCGGCCGCGGCCUCCUCCCCCAACCCCUCCGAGCUACAACCCGCGGCCUCCUUACCUGC